CUCCCGCUUUCAUGACCGUCAAAACCGACAUCUGAGCAAAGAAACGGAGAGAGAAGAGAUAAAGAGCUCUCUCCGAUGGAGUCCGCGUCUCUUCCCAGAAUACCCCUCCUCGCCUCCUCCAAACCCCUCAAACCCUCCCUCGUUUAUCGCCACCUCCGUCUUCCCUUCCCACAAUUCCCCUCCUCCUCCUGCUGCUCCUCCUCGAAAGCCCGAUGCGUUGGGAGUCUCGACUCUCGGAGAUCCCUCGAUCUCGUCCCCAUCUUCUUCGGAGGGAAUAUACUCCGGAGCUCUCCCACGGCUCCGGUAUCGAGUAGAUUCGCCUCCAUAUCGAACUCCGCGGCCUUUUCCGGUGCUGGCGGCGGCGGCGGCGGGCCCCUCGGCGGCGGCGGCGGCGGGGGCGGCGGCGGCGGCGGGGGCGGCGGCGACUGCGGAUCGGGCGGUGGUGAGGCGGCGGUGAAGUCCAUCGCGGGGGAGUCCGAAGAGGUUCCGGUUUUGGGGUCUGACGUGAUCGUUCUCCAUGUCGGAGGAAUGUCUUGCGGUGGAUGCGCUGCGAGCGUGAAACGAAUCUUAGAAAGUCAGCCUCAAGUGUCUUCUGCCACCGUUAGUCUUGAGACAGAAACAGCAUACGUUUGCGUUGUACCUGAAGUCAAGGUUACACAGGAUUGGCAGCAGCAGUUAGGGGAGAAACUAGCAAACCACUUGACCGCUUGUGGAUUUAAGUCUGGCCUUAAAGUUCUUUGCAUGUCAGAUAUUAACUCGAGACCUUAUGGUAGCAUCAUACUUUCUUCUUCAUCAGAAUAUACAGUUUCUGCUGGCUAUUAAGGCUCUCGGACAAGGACACGCAGUUGGAGAGAUUCAAUCUGAGGGGGGAUAAGGAUGCAAUGUUGAACAUUGCUUUGAUUCUUCACAAUUAAAAUGAUGUUGGAGGCAGUUGAUGGACUCAACAAAGGACUUGCAGUCUGGCUUGGAGUUUUAUUAUCAUAAAUUUCCUCUGUUGUCAUUCAUUUACUUGAGCUGUUACCAUACAUUGAAGACUUAAAUGGAUCUGAUUUUUAUCAUGCAACUAGUAGAACACAAUACCAGCCAGCUCUGUUUGUUGUGUUAAUAUUUAGCUCUGUGCCUUAGAAAAGCAAUGCGACUUUCUAUAUUAGGUUUCACUAUUCUGCAAGUUUAGUUUGAUUGUUGUACAUGAAAUUUCUCCAGUUUUUCAAGUUCA